UCGCGCCCGCUUUUCUCUCGGGUGAUCCGGCCGAGUGGCCCUGGGUUAGCAGCUGCUGCAUUUCCCCGGCUGGCUGCGGUCACUGGUGGCAGUGCUCAGGCGCCCGCCGCCCUUGACCUUCGGCCCCGCGAGCUCUAACCCUACAGCGCAGGAAGAUCGGCCGCCGCGGCCAGCAGAGCCAAGCACAGUGGGAACUUUCAGAAAGCACUGGUUGAAGGAACGCUGGAAUCCCUGGGACUUACUGCGUAGCAUGUAGUAGUUGCUCCUCUAGAAAAGUUUCACCUUAUGAAGUAUAGCAGAAGGGGGAUGAAGUCCAGUGUGAGAUUGAAGAACUAGGUGUCAUCAUCAACAAGGUGGUGUGAUGGCUCCUGCACAGGCCCUGCACAUAGGAUGAGGGCAUCUGCUCCCACUCAGCCUAGCCCAGGGAAAGGCCCAGUGACAGGUGUGGACAGGUGCCAGCCCUGCAAGCCGCCUCUUCUCGGUAGAAGGGAGAAGGACAGAGCUCUCUUCAAUAAAUUCGUCAGGUCAAAGCAGC
rnacentral:lncRNA from 1 species